rnacentral:rRNA from 1 species
GACGAACGCUGGCGGCGUGCCUAAUACAUGCAAGUCGAACGCAGUGGGGACGGGUGAGUAACACGUGGGUAACCUCCCAUCAGAGGGGAUAACACUUGGAAACAGGUGCUAAACCGAUACUGAUGGAUGGACCCGCGGUGCAUUAGCUAGUUGGUGAGGUAACGGCUCACCAAGGCCACGAUGCAUAGGCGACCUGAGGGGGUGAUCGGCCACACUGGGGCUGGGACACGGCCCAUACUCCCUCGGGAGGCAGGAGUAGGGAAUCUUCGGCAAUGGACGGAAGUCUUACCGGAGAACGGCGCGUGAGUGAAGGAGGUUUUCGGGUCGUAAAACUCUGUUGUUAGAGGAGCGGUAUCUAACCAGAAAGCCACCGGUAACUACGGGCCAGCCGCCGGGGUAAUAC